ACGUUAGGACCUAAUAGGGGAGAACGGGGGAGAGGAGGAGAGGAGAGAGGGGGGGAAGGAGGAGAGGGCAAGAGGGGAGGGGGGAAGGAGGAGAGGAGAGAGGGCAAGAGGGGAGGGGGGAAGGAGGAGAGGAGAGAGGGCAAGGGGGAUGGGGGAGAAGGAGGAGAGGAGAGGGGGCAAGGGGGAGGGGGAGAAGGAGGAGAGGAGAGAGGGCAAGAGGGGAGGAGGGGGAUUGGAGGAAGAAGAUAUAACAGGAGGAGGAAGAAAAGGAGGUCACCAGCCAAACUCACAGAGAGGAAACACGUGAAGGAGAGAGAGAGGUACUGUAGAGGAAACAGGUGAAAGAGAGAGAGAGGUACUGUAGAGGAAACAGGUGAACGAGAGAGAGAGGUACUGUAGAGGAAACAGGUGAAGGAGAGAGAGAGAGGGACUGUAAAGGAAACAGGUGAAGGAGAGAGAGAGGUACUGUAGAGGAAACAGGUGAAGGAGAGAGAGAGGUACAGUAGAGGAAACAGGUGAAGGAGAGAGAGAGAGGUACUAUAGAGGAAACAGGUGAAGGAGAGAGAGAGGUACUGUAGAGGAAACAGGUGAAGGAGAGAGAGAGGUACUGUAGAGGAAACAGGUGAAGGAGAGAGAGAGGGGGACUGUAGAGGAAACAGGUGAAGGAGAGAGAGAGGGACUGUAGAGGAAACAGGUGAAGGAGAGAGAGAGGUACUGUAGAGGAAACAGGUGAAGGAGAGAGAGAGAGGUACUGUAGAGGAAACAGGUGAAGGAGAGAGAGAGGUACUGUAGAGGAAACAGGUGAAGGAGAGAGAGAGGUACAGUAGAGGAAACAGGUGAAGGAGAGAGAGAGAGGUACUGUAGAGGAAACAGGUGAAGGAGAGAGAGAGGUACUGUAGAGGAAACAGGUGAAGGAGAGAGAGAGGGGGACUGUAGAGGAAACAGGUGAAGGAGAGAGAGAGGGACUGUAGAGGAAACAGGUGAAGGAGAGAGAGAGGUACUGUAGAGGAAACAGGUGAAGGAGAGAGAGAGGGACUGUAGAGGAAACAGGUGAAGGAGAGAGAGAGGGGGACUGUAGAGGAAACAGGUGAAGAAGAGAGAGAGAGGGACUGUGGAGGAAACAGGUGAAGGAGAGAGAGAGGGGGACUGUAGAGGAAACAGGUGAAGGAGAGAGAGAGGUACAGUAGAGGAAACAGGUGAAGGAGAGAGAGAGGUACAGUAGAGGAAACAGGUGAAGGACAGAGAGAGGUACUGUAGAGGAAACAGGUGAAGGAGAGAGAGACGUACAGUAGAGGAAACAGGUGAAAGAGAGAGAGGGGUACUGUAGAGGAAACACGUGAAGGAGAGGGAGAGGUACUGUAGAGGAAACAGGUGAGGGAGAGAGAGAGAUACAGUAGAGGAAACAGGUGAAGGACAGAGAGAGAUACUGUAGAGGAAACAGGUGAAAGAGAGAGAGAGGUACUGUAGAGGAAACAGGUGAAGGAGAGAGAGAGGUACAGUAGAGGAAACAGGUGAAGGAGAGAGAGAGGUACAGUAGAGGAAACGGGUGAAGGACAGAGAGAGGUACUGUAGAGGAAACAGGUGAAGGAGAGAGAGAGGUACAGUAGAGGAAACAGGUGAAGGAGAGAGAGAGGUACUGUAGAGGAAACAGGUGAAGGACAGAGAGGUACUAUAGAGGAAACAGGUUAAGGACAGAGAGAGGUACUGUAGAGGAAACAGGUGAAGGAGAGAGAGAGGUACAGUAGAGGAAACAGGUGAAGGAGAGAGAGAGGUACUGUAGAGGAAACAGGUGAAGGACAGAGAGGUACUAUAGAGGAAACAGGUGAAGGACAGAGAGGUACUAUAGAGGAAACAGGUUAAGGACAGAGAGAGGUACUGUAGAGGAAACAGGUGAAGGAGAGAGAGAGGUACUGUAGAGGAAACAGGUGAAGGACAGAGAGAGGUACUGUAGAGGAAACAGGUGAAGGAGAGAGAGAGGUACAGUAGAGGAAACAGGUGAAGAAGAGAGAGAGGUACUGUAGAGGAAACAGGUGAAGGACAGAGAGGUACUAUAGAGGAAACAGGUUAAGGACAGAGAGAGGUACUGUAGAGGAAACAGGUGAAGGAGAGAGAGAGGUACUGUAGAGGAAACAGGUGAAGGACAGAGAGAGGUACUGUAGAGGAAACAGGUGAAGGAGAGAGAGAGGUACUGUAGAGGAAACAGGUGAAGGAGAGAGAGAGGUACUGUAGAGGAAACAGGUGAAGGAGGGAGAGAGGUACUGUAGAGGAAACAGGUGAAGGACAGAGAGAGGUACUGUAGAGGAAACAGGUGAAGGAGAGAGAGAGAGGGACUGUAGAGGAAACAGGUGAAGGAGAGAGAGGUACUGUAGAGGAAACACGUGAAGGAGAGAGAGAGAGGUACUGUAGAGGAAACAGGUGAAAGAGAGAGAGAGAGGGACUGUAGAGGAAACAGGUGAAGGACAGAGAGAGGUACUGUAGAGGAAACAGGUGAAGGAGAGAGAGAGGUACAGUAGAGGAAACAGGUGAAAGAGAGAGAGAGGUACUGUAGAGGAAACAGGUGAAGGAGAGAGAGAGGUACUGUAGAGGAAACACGUGAAGGAGAGAGAGAGGUACUGUAGAGGAAACAGGUGAGGGAGAGAGAGAGAUACAGUAGAGGAAACAGGUGAAGGACAGAGAGAGAUACUGUAGAGGAAACAGGUGAAAGAGAGAGAGAGGUACUGUAGAGGAAACAGGUGAAGGAGAGAGAGAGGUACAGUAGAGGAAACAGGUGAAGGAGAGAGAGAGGUACUGUAGAGGAAACAGGUGAAGGAGAGAGAGAGGUACUGUAGAGGAAACAGGUGAAGGAGAGAGAGAGGUACUGUAGAGGAAACAGGUGAAGGAGAGAGAGAGGUAAUGUAGAGGAAACGGGUGAAGGAGAGAGAGAGAGACUGUAGAGGAAACAGGUGAAGGAGAGAGAGAGGUACUGUAGAGGAAACAGGUGAAGGAGAGAGAGAGAGGGACUGUAGAGGAAACAGGUGAAAGAGAGAGAGAGAGGGACUGUAGAGGAAACAGGUGAAGGAGAGAGAGAGGUACUGUAGAGGAAACAGGUGAAGGAGAGAGAGAGGUACUGUAGAGGAAACAGGUGAAGGAGAGAGAGAGAGGGACUGUAGAGGAAACAGGUGAAGGAGAGAGAGGUACUGUAGAGGAAACACGUGAAGGAGAGAGAGAGGGGUACUGUAGAGGAAACAGGUGAAAGAGAGAGAGAGAGGGACUGUAGAGGAAACAGGUGAAGGACAGAGAGAGGUACUGUAGAGGAAACAGGUGAAGGAGAGAGAGAGGUACAGUAGAGGAAACAGGUGAAAGAGAGAGAGGGGUACUGUAGAGGAAACAGGUGAAGGAGAGAGAGAGGUACUGUAGAGGAAACAGGUGAAGGAGAGAGAGAGGUACUGUAGAGGAAACAGGUGAAGGAGAGAGAGAGGUACUGUAGAGGAAACAGGUGAAGGAGAGAGAGAGGUACUGUAGAGGAAACAGGUGAAGGAGAGAGAGAGGUACUGUAGAGGAAACAGGUGAAGGAGAGAGAGAGGUACUGUAGAGGAAACAGGUGAAGGAGAGAGAGAGGGGACUGUAGA